rnacentral:rRNA from 1 species
UACGGAGGAUGCGAGCGUUAUCCGGAUUUAUUGGGUUUAAAGGGUGCGUAGGCGGGCUUUUAAGUCAGCGGUAAACAUUCGGGGCUCAACCCCGUCCGGCCGUUGAAACUGGGGGCCUUGAGUGGGCGAGAAGAAGGCGGAAUGCGUGGUGUAGCGGUGAAAUGCAUAGAUAUCACGCAGAACCCCGAUUGCGAAGGCAGCCUUCCGGCGCCCUACUGACGCUGAGGCACGAAAGUGCGGGGAUCGAACAGG